rnacentral:rRNA from 1 species
UACAGAGGGUGCGAGCGUUGUUCGGAAUUACUGGGCGUAAAGCGCACGUAGGCGGAUUUGUAAGUCAGGGGUGAAAUCCCGGGGCUCAACCUCGGAACUGCCUUUGAUACUGCAAAUCUCGAGUCCGGAAGAGGUGAGUGGAAUUCCUAGUGUAGAGGUGAAAUUCGUAGAUAUUAGGAAGAACACCAGUGGCGAAGGCGGCUCACUGGUCCGGUACUGACGCUGAGGUGCGAAAGCGUGGGGAGCAAACAGG